rnacentral:misc_RNA from 1 species
UUAAGUUCAGCGGGUAUUCCUACCUGAUCUGAGGUCAACCUUGAGAAGUAGGGGGUUUUACGGCGUGGCCCUUACGCUUUCCAGCUGCGAGGUAUUACUACUGCACAGAGGAGGUCGCGUGAGGACCGCCACUAGAUUUCAGGGCCAGCCCCGGAGGGCUGAUCCCCAACGCCAGGUCCCGCGAACGGGUCCUGAGGGUU